AUGUGAGAAGGUGGGGUGGGGCAGGUAGGUGUGUGCCAUUGGGGACUUCCACGUGCCACAGGAGUGAGAGAGAGUGCCAGAGUAAAGAAGAGGCCUUAGCCUUUUCAGAAAAUCACCUAACCUUCUCCACCAUUAUAUUCACAUUCAAAAAGCCAGUUGGACAGCAGCUGCCCACGAUGACUUAUUUAUAGCACAAACUAUAAUUAUGCCCCUUCACACCCAACCCUCAGCCUCAUGGAACUUUAAGGCAAACAUCCCAGAAGGCUUGUGAGGUGCCUGCUGAUACUGUUUCCACAACAGAUGUCUCGCAGCUGUCUGUCAUCUGUGGCUCUCCAGGCUGUGGGGCACCGGAGCUGAUGGCAUAGGAUGCAGCCGGGCAGGCCCAGUGGAAUACCAACGUUCUGUCACCUUAUCCCUCUUAUGUACAGCCCAACAACAGGACAGCCUGGAGAGGCCGUCACUCUGCACGUUCCUGAGAACAUUAAGGACAUCCUAUGAUCUGAGCACCAGCGGCCUAUGGAGAGUGCACAACCCUGAAUCCCCAGCAGGCCUCACAGGCUGCAUCCAACUAACCCAACAAUGGCCAGCUGUGGAUGGACAGUCCAAGAAUCCAGUACCUGCUGAGUCCCUCAGGGCUGGCUGGGUGUCUCAGCUGCUCUUCGGUAUAAACUGGAAUCCUGAAGAAGUAGGCGCCAAUGGAUGUGCUGGCAAAGUGAAUUCAAGCAGCUUCACAAUGAUGUGGAAGUGACCCACUCGGGAGAAACCACUUUGGAAUUUCUGACCUUUUGAUCUUUUGCUGUGUGACUGGCCAACACCACCGUAGUCUGCAAUAGUGGGCAGAAACAGUACACCAGAGUUGCCAGUUAGUCCCAGUAUCACAAGUAAGACCACAGUGCUGCGAGUCGCUCACCCAGAGCCGGGAAGGUGUCAACCUCACAAACAGGCUGUAGAACCAGAAUAUGAUGUUUGUUUGCCUGGAUGACUACGGAGGUCACAUCCACUUGAUUGCUGAGCUCAGUUGCUGAACACUGAGGGGCUGAGGUUGCACUCGACCGUUCAUGAUCAGCCCUCCACCCACAGUCCUGCUACCUGGAGAGUCACAGAGGUCCUAGUGUGGUCCUGAGCUGAGGGCAGCUGUGAGGAGCCAAGGAUACCCUAAGUAAUGUGUAUCAUGGACACAGGCUCAGCGAUGCCAAGGACACUCCGCCUCAGACCAGGCUAGUCUUCCUCUGGUUCAAGUGUGAGUGCAUACAACCCAUUGACCAGUGUGUGAAAACUAGGAGCAGCAGUUUCCUCCUCCAGAUGACUGCAGCCUCAGACUGGUCCCCCCCUCCCCCCGGAAAGACCUCCGACCAGGCCAGCUGACCUCUCUUCCUGUGCUGUACAUAAAUAAAAAAUAAAAAUAAAAGUAAGGCUCUGCGUUCUUGGGCCUGGUUAGUAUGCUCCAUCAGAUCGAACAUGGCCCAUCUGAUCCCAGCUUUUCUGUAUGUGUGUCUGUUCGUCCUUUAUUUCCUCACCACCCCCUCAGGUUUCCAAGACCAAGCUAGGCUGGGCACAGUGCAGGGCAUCAGAGCUUCCUUCAAGAGACCAGUCCACUUCGUCCCAUGGCUUUGGAACUGUGGAGAGAUAGAACAUGAGGAGCGUGUAUGGCAAGAGGCUGCACAGGA